rnacentral:SRP_RNA from 1 species
GCCAGGCAUAGUGGUGUGUGCCUGUAAUCCCAGCUACUUGGGAGGCUGAGGCAGGAGAAUCGCUUGAACCCGGGAGGUGGAGCUUGCAGUGAGCCGAGAUCGUGCCCCUGCACUCCAGCCUUGGUGACAAAGCGAGACUCUGUCUCAA